GGUCAUUAGAGGAAGUAAAAGUCGUAACAAGGUUUCUGUAGGUGAACCUGCAGAAGGAUCAUUAGUGAAGAUUUGGGCAGGCCAUACGGACGCCAAAAAGUGUCCCUGGCCGCCUACACCCACUAUACAUCCACAAACCCGUGUGCACUGUCUUGGAGAAAGGCUUCAGAGAAGUUUUUUGUGGCCUCUCUUGGGGUCUUUCUUCGCUACAAACUCGAAUGGUUAGUAUGAACGUGGAACUUGGUUGGACCGUCACUGGCCAACAAACUAUACACAACUUUCGACAACGGAUCUCUUGGUUCUCCCAUCGAUGAAGAACGCAGCGAAACGCGAUAGGUAAUGUGAAUUGCAGAAUUCCGUGAAUCAUCGAAUCUUUGAACGCACCUUGCGCUCUAUGGCAAUCCGUAGAGCAUGCCUGUUUGAGUGCCAUGAAAUCUCCCACCCCAAGCGGUUUUUAAAUGAAACGGCUUGGCGGAUGGGGUCUGGAUGGGUGCCUCUGCCUGCGCUACCUAGCACAGGCUCGCCCGAAAUGCAUGAGCGCCUUGAGACACUUUGCAUCCGCCUCUCUGUUUGGGAGGAGGCGGCCAAGCAGUGUUUUUCUCCUGGCAUGGCAUGAUACGUCAUUUGCUAUGUCGCCUAAAGGAGGAAUGUUUGGUUGUGUCUGCGUGUGCUUCGAACUUGCCUCUGUGGCACAUCCCAAUUUCACUUCUGGUCUCAAAUCAGGUAGGAUCACCCGCUGAACUUAAGCAUAUCAAU
rnacentral:rRNA from 1 species